CACGUAGGGCGCAAGCGUUGUCCGGAAUUAUUGGGCGUAAAGAGCUCGUAGGCGGUUUGUCGCGUCUGCCGUGAAAGUCCGGGGCUCAACUCCGGAUCUGCGGUGGGUACGGGCAGACUAGAGUGAUGUAGGGGAGACUGGAAUUCCUGGUGUAGCGGUGAAAUGCGCAGAUAUCAGGAGGAACACCGAUGGCGAAGGCAGGUCUCUGGGCCGAUACUGACGCUGAGGAGCGAAAGCGUGGGGAGCGAACAGG
rnacentral:rRNA from 1 species